rnacentral:rRNA from 1 species
AUCAUUCGAGAAUUUUGUGUAAAAUGUCGGCGAGCGGCGGACGGCUGAGUAACGCGUGGGAAUGUACCCCAAAGUGAGGGAUAACGCACCGAAAGGUGUGCUAAUACCGCAUAUGAUCUUCGGAUUAAAGCCUUCGGGCGCUUUGGGAACAGCCUGCGCCAGAUUAGAUAGUUGGUGAGGUAAUGGCUCACCAAGUCAACGAUCUGUAACUGGUUUGAGAGGAUGAUCAGUCAGACUGGAACUGAGACACGGUCCAGACUCCUACGGGAGGCAGCAGUGAGGAAUCUUCCACAAUGGGCGAAAGCCUGAUGGAGCAACGCCGCGUGCAGGAUGAAGGCCUUCGGGUUGUAAACUGCUUUUAUAAGUGAGGAAUAUGACAGUAACUUAUGAAUAAGGAUCGGCUAACUACGUGCCAGCAGCCGCGGUCAUACGUAGGAUCCGAGCGUUAUCCGGAGUGACUGGGCGUAAAGAGUUGCGUAACUGUUUUAAUAAGCGAAUAGUGAAAUCUGGUGGCUCAACCAUUCAGACUAUUAUUCGAACUGUUGAACUCGAGAGCAGAAGAGGUAUCUGGAAUUUCUAGUGUAGGAGUGAAAUCCGU